rnacentral:rRNA from 1 species
AGUCACUGACAUUAGAUACCCGGGUAGUCCCAGCCGUAAACAAUGUGCGUUAGGUGUGUCGAUAACCACGCGUUACUGAUGCGCCGAAGAGAAAUCGUGAAACGCACCACCUGGGAAGUACGGUCGCAAGGCUGAAACUUAAAGGAAUUGGCGGGGGAGCACCACAACAGGUGGAGCCUGCGGUUUAAUUGGAUUCAACGCCGGACAUCUCACCGGAUAAGACAGCUGAAUGAUUGUCAAUCUGAAGGUUCUACAUGACUAGCUG